rnacentral:rRNA from 1 species
GCGGGAGCUUAACAUGCAGUCGAACGGCAGCACGGACUUCGGUCUGGUGGCGAGUGGCGAACGGGUGAGUAAUGUAUCGGAACGUGCCUAGUAGCGGGGGAUAACUACGCGAAAGCGUAGCUAAUACCGCAUACGCCCUACGGGGGAAAGCAGGGGAUCGCAAGACCUUGCACUAUUAGAGCGGCCGAUAUCGGAUUAGCUAGUUGGUGGGGUAACGGCUCACCAAGGCGACGAUCCGUAGCUGGUUUGAGAGGACGACCAGCCACACUGGGACUGAGACACGGCCCAGACUCCUACGGGAGGCAGCAGUGGGGAAUUUUGGACAAUGGGGGAAACCCUGAUCCAGCCAUCCCGCGUGUGCGAUGAAGGCCUUCGGGUUGUAAAGCACUUUUGGCAGGAAAGAAACGUCAUGGGUUAAUACCCCGUGAAACUGACGGUACCUGCAGAAUAAGCACCGGCUAACUACGUGCCAGCAGCGGCCGGUAAUA